UACGGGGGGAGCAAGCGUUGUUCGGAUUUACUGGGCGUAAAGGGCUCGUAGGCGGCCAACUAAGUCGGACGUGAAAUCCCCAGGCUCAACCUGGGAACUGCGUCCGAUACUGGAUGGCUUGAAUUCGGGAGAGGGAUGCAGAAUUCCAGGUGUAGCGGUGAAAUGCGUAGAUAUCUGGAGGAAUACCGGUGGCGAAGGCGGCAUCCUGGACCGACAUUGACGCUGAUGAGCGAAAGCUAGGGGAGCAAACGGG
rnacentral:rRNA from 1 species